UGCCAGCAGCCGCGGUAAUACGUAGGUGGCAAGCGUUAUCCGGAAUUAUUGGGCGUAAAGCGCGCGCAGGCGGUCCUUUAAGUCUGAUGUGAAAGCCCACGGCUCAACCGUGGAGGGUCAUUGGAAACUGGGGGACUUGAGUGCAGAAGAGGAGAGCGGAAUUCCACGUGUAGCGGUGAAAUGCGUAGAGAUGUGGAGGAACACCAGUGGCGAAGGCGGCUCUCUGGUCUGUAACUGACGCUGAGGCGCGAAAGCGUGGGGAUCGAACAGGAUUAGAUACCCUGGUAGUCC
rnacentral:rRNA from 1 species